rnacentral:lncRNA from 1 species
AGAGAGGCUGUGAGGGUGGCUUUGUGAGGAUGGCUUUGUGUGGCUGCACAUUGCCCUUGGCCAAGCCCCGCUGCCAGGAGAGGCAGCUCGGCUGCCAAACCUCCUGAACCCAAGUUACCUGAGCAAGCAGCCCUAUCCCCUCGCCUGCUUCUCACUGCCUCGCCUGCCUUGGGCCUGCCCGACCCAGGGGGUCACAUGCCUUGUUCCCCAUCAGUGGAGACCAGGGACAAGAAGACAGUUCUGUGGGAAGAGCCAGGAGGACCAUUUGGGAAAAUACAGGUUCCAGGUGUGUCUCCAGACCUUGAGAGUUGGUGUCUCCUGGGAAGAGGCCCUGAUGAGAUCUGGGGAGAUUCGGAUCUGAUGAGAUUCAGGAAGCCCUGGCCUCUCCGUACUUGAGGAGACGGGACACACAGGACAAGCUGCAGGCUGGUGAGCAGGUUCACCUUCUAUUUUGAAGACCCGCUUCUUCCUCAGGUACCUGAUCUUGAAAACGACCUCCCCUUUCAGUUCUGGAGGCCAGAAGCCCAAAAUCAGUCUCGCUGGGCUAACGUGAAGGUGUCAGUCGGGCUGGUUCCUUCUGGAGGCUCCAGAAAAGAAUCUGUUUUCUUGCCUUUUCUGGCUCAGUUUCUCGGCUUGUGGCUCCUUCCUCCAUCUUCAAAGAGCACCACUCCAAUCUGCUCCUCCAUCAGGUCACCUUCUGCCUGACUCCUACAUCCCUUUCAGAAGGACCCUUGUGAUUCCAUGAGGUCCACCCAGAUCACGCAGGAUAAUGUCCCCGUCUCAAGAGGCUUAAUCUAAUCACAGGUCUUGCUUCCCCUCAACCCAGACACCGACUCGCCCAAGGGUCUUCCAGCUGGCUGAGUUGGAACCUGCAUUUUUUAACCACAAGGAAAAGAAGCCCAGAGCUACCAAGAAUAAUAUUUUAUUGACUUGGAAUGAGUUUUGGAAUCUGUAUUUUUAACAAGCUGCCCAGUGAAAACCAUUUCCUCCUCGUCGUGGCGCAGGUCCAGAGGCUGCGCCCAUCUCUCCCACGUCAACAGUCCUGUGUCCUUGGCGAAGGACUGUUCUCUCAUUCAGUGCCUUUCCUCUCUUCCUGGGCCAAAUCCCUGCUUUGCGUCUCCCUGCAGCUCAUAAAAAGCUGAAUUACCUGAGGCAGGGAAAGCCCCACCCACUGUCAUUCUCAGGGAGGAGUGGAGUCUGCAGAGGCCGCAAUGCACAGCUUCCCUAUCCCCCUCCACCCGUGUUUUCCCAGAGCAGCUCUGUUCCAGGCCCGGGGGUGUCCCUGGGCCGAGAUGGAAUCCAGCCCUGACCACCUCCCAAAGCCAACAGCCCUGAGUGAGCGUGCAGAGAAGCAAGAGCUGUUCCUGAUGCAGAGCAAAGACAUCUCCCAGUCAAGGGGGAUGAACUGAUUUGGGACAAAAGGCAGUUGUUGGCUGAGGAAGGCAGGAUCUGGGGGAGCCCUGUGCUGAGUGGAGGUGGGUGGGUGUAUUUCCUUGGCUCACAGAGGCCUCUUGUCUGGUGGGAUCAGCUCCUCCAGCCAGUUGCCACCUGGUCCAGCUUUGGGAGAUGUGGAGAAUGACUUUCGCAGUGAUUUCCACUGGGCCAUGGCAUUGAAACAGCUGCAGGAGGGGACACAGCUGGUGCCACCCCUACUCCGUCCAUUAGAGCUGCUGUGAAGGAAUGCCACCCUCCCCAUGGGGAGUGAGGGGGCCCUACUUGCUGUGGUUGGUUCCAGGGACCAUGGGAAGAGGCAAACCCCUAUUUUCAAGGGCACAAGUUGGCUUUUAUUAAAAUAAAAUUUCAUCAUCACUUA